rnacentral:rRNA from 1 species
GUGGGGAAUAUUGGACAAUGGGCGAAAGCCUGAUCCAGCCAUGCCGCGUGUGUGAAGAAGGUCUUCGGAUUGUAAAGCACUUUAAGUUGGGAGGAAGGGCAGUAAGUUAAUACCUUGCUGUUUUGACGUUACCGACAGAAUAAGCACCGGCUAACUUCGUGCCAGCAGCCGCGGUAAUACGAAGGGUGCAAGCGUUAAUCGGAAUUACUGGGCGUAAAGCGCGCGUAGGUGGUUUUGUAAGUUGUAGGUGAAAUCACCGGGCUCAACCUGGGAACUGCCUCAAAAACUGCAUGACUAGAGUACGGUAGAGGGUAGUGGAAUGUCCUGUGUAGCGGUGAAAUGCGUAGAUAUAGGAAGGAACACCAGUGGCGAAGGCGACUACCUGGACUGAUACUGACACUGAGGUGCGAAAGCGUGGGGAGCAAACAGGAUUAGAUACCCGGGUAGUCC